rnacentral:rRNA from 1 species
UGAGCAAUCUGCCCUUCUCAUCGGAAUAAGCGUUGGAAACGACGUCUAAUGCCGAAUACGACCUCCUUUCGCAUGAUCGGAGGUGGAAAGCUCCGGCGGAGAAGGAUGAGCUCGCGGCCUAUCAGCUAGUUGGUGUGGGUAACGCUCACCAAGGCAACGACGGGUAUCUGGUCUGAGAGGAUGGCCAGCCACAUUGGGACUGAGACACGGCCCAGAUCCUACGGG